UUCCUACGGGGGGCUGCAGUGGGGAAUUUUGCGCAAUGGGCGAAAGCCUGACGCAGCAACGCCGCGUGCGGGAUGAAGGCCUUCGGGUUGUAAACCGCUUUCAGCAGGGAUGAAACUGACAGUACCUGCAGAAGAAGCCCCGGCUAACUACGUGCCAGCAGCCGCGGUAAUACGUAGGGGGCGAGCGUUAUCCGGAUUCAUUGGGCGUAAAGAGCGCGUAGGCGGCUUGUUAAGCGAGAUGUGAAAACCGGGGGCUUAACCCGCGGCCUGCAUCUCGAACUGGCAGGCUUGAGUCUGGUAGAGGAGUGUGGAAUUCCCAGUGUAGCGGUGAAAUGCGCAGAUAUUGGGAGGAACACCAGUGGCGAAGGCGGCACUCUGGGCCACGACUGACGCUGAGGCGCGAAAGCUAGGGGAGCAAACAGGAUUAGAUACCCUAGUAGUCU
rnacentral:rRNA from 1 species